rnacentral:rRNA from 1 species
GAUGAACGCUGGCGGCGUGCCUAAUACAUGCAAGUCGAACGAAACUUCUUUAUCACCGAGUGCUUGCACUCACCGAUAAAGAGUUGAGUGGCGAACGGGUGAGUAACACGUGGGCAACCUGCCCAAAAGAGGGGGAUAACACUUGGAAACAGGUGCUAAUACCGCAUAACCAUAGUUACCGCAUGGUAACUAUGUAAAAGGUGGCUAUACUACCGCUUUUGGAUGGGCCCGCGGCGCAUUAGCUAGUUGGUAGGGUAAAGGCUUACCAAGGCAAUGAUGCGUAGCCGAAGUGAGAGGUUGAUCGGCCACAUUGGGACUGAGACACGGCCCAAACUCCUACGAGAGGCAGCAGUAGGGAAUCUUCCACAAUGGGCGAAAGCCUGAUGGAGCAACGCCGCGUGGGUGAAGAAGGUCUUCGGAUCGUAAAACCCUGUUGUUAGAGAAGAAAGUGCGUGAGAGUAACUGUUCACGUUUCGACGGUAUCUAACCAGAAAGCCACGGCUAACUACGUG